rnacentral:rRNA from 1 species
UACGUAGGGACCAAGCGUUGUUCGGAUUUACUGGGCGUAAAGGGCGCGUAGGCGGCUUGACAAGUCACUUGUGAAAUCUCCGGGCUUAACUCGGAACGGCCAAGUGAAACUGUCAUGCUAGAGUGCAGAAGGGGCAAUCGGAAUUCUUGGUGUAGCGGUGAAAUGCGCAGAUAUCGGGAGGAACACCUAUGGCGAAGGCAGCUCGCUGGGACGUUACUGACGCUGAGACGCGAAAGCGUGGGGAGCAAACAGG